GGCCCACCCUGCCUCCCCGGCGGGACUCCCGCUGUCCGCAGCCCACCCGGUCCCUCCCCUACCCACAACCCUUCUCCCGCGGGGGGAGCCUCCGCGGAGGCAGGCGCGGAGCACCCGGCCUGCCCGCAGCCUUGCCGGGCACAGCGCAGGCCACUUGACGCCCAGCGCGGGGUCCCAGUCGGAAAGCACAAGGAGGUUGGAGAAGACUCCUAAACUUCCAGGGACCCGUCAAAGCGUUCUUUCUGCUGAAACACUGCUUCCCCUGGGGCGGAAAGUUUGAGGAUGGCAGAGACAUCCUGCGAUCUCUUUCCCAAGACGGUAACAAAUGCAGCCGGCGGAGCCAGUCCCGCUGCGGCGCGGCUCGCCCUUAUUUCGAUGUGCUAAUUGCAAAUCUCGAAACAUGGCACUGUAACCCUAUCAAGGGGCUUAGGCACAGCGGUGUAAAAACUGUCCUGAAACGAGCCCUAACUUUCCGAAGGACGAAGCAGAUUUACUCUUUGAGCCACUCACGAAGAAGCCCUUCGAGAACGAACCGCACCCGUGCGUGGCAAUCUGCUCCGUCCCGUCCAUCACGGCUGGCCAGGUACGGUUUCACGGCAUCCCCAAGAUCUCCACUAUUUUUGAGGUCCUUUCCUAAGCUGGACUUAAAAAAAAGAACUUGCUUCCGCAGAUUUGUUCCCUUUGAAAUUGUAAAUUGGAGUCGCAAUUGCGAACUCGCCUCAAACGUAAACGCGUUUGGUGGAUCAGCCCGGCAUUCGUCUAAGCUUAUUUUAAAGCCGAUUAUUUUAUCAUUUAACGCACCGGCAGAUCCUUUUGAAGGUGGAAACGAAAUGAAUAAAACCUGACGUACAGA